UAGAAACUUAAGAUUAAUAAACUAAGGACCUUCAAAGCCCUAAAUAUGAGUUCAACUCUCAUAGUUUCU
rnacentral:tRNA from 1 species